CAUUUUCUUAACCAGUAGAAUUAUACAAUCAGAGACUUUUUAGUAACAGAAAUAAUGUAAAAUAGAAUAGAACCAAUGAGAACUCUUUAUUCAAAAUUUAGUCCCCACCCUGCCAUGUCCUUAUACCAACACCAAGACCUCAAGUCAUUUUCAUUUUUCUGAGAAACACAAGUCAGAGGCUUCAUUAAUUCCUCACACUCUUUUCACUCUUUUUUCUGAGGUGUUCCUUAGGUCUUGUUUGCUAAUUAAGGGUAGUAAGUCAAACUCAUCAAAUACUCCUUUUACCUCUCCCAAUCGUGCUCUGUUCUUUCUUUCUCUAAGAAUCAAUUCUUUUACUUCAUAAAUUUCAGAUGCAAGCACGUACAUAAUUAAGUCCCUCACACCUCAAGCUUCAAGGUUGAAGAUGGAUGAAUAUUGAGUUGAUGAAGAUGAAGAUAGAUAAAAAUUGGGUUGAAGAGAUGAAUGAAACAAUUUUUUUUCUCAUUUUUGUUUUAGUCCCUAACAAAAUUAAUUAAAAUAAUUUAUUUAUGAUGAUUCAUCAAAACCUUGCCUAGUCAGGCUCUCUUGAACACGGUGUCAGCCAAACCAUAUGUCACAGUCUAAUAUAAUGACAAGAUUAAUGAGGGACGAAAAUCAAUGGGUUUAAAUUUUACAGGAUAAAACAGACGUUUUUUUUCUUCAAGGACUAGAACUUAAAAAAUUCGCUAAUAUUUGAAGGAUGAAAAACACAUUUUGCACUUUCUAUUUUUUGCCCCUAUCUGUCAUGAAAUGCUAUAGAAAAAUAAUAAUAUAAUGUUUCCCUAUUGCUAUUGAGCUAGCUAAAUAGGCAAAUUGAUUAACAACAACACAUUUUAUAAUUAUAAUUAUUAAUUAUAAAAUGGUUUAUUGAAGAUCUAUAAGUGCCAAAAAUAUUUAUUUAAACAAAUAAACAAAACUCAGAACUUUUACAACAUAAACUGAUCAAUAAAUUGCUAUCUAUAGCAAGCUUUGUAAAAAAAAUUAUGGCUGAAAAUAUUAAGUUUGUUUAUUUAACAUUCUUUUUUAUUUCCUUGUUUCUUGUUGUAACUGACGUUAGUGGUAAACCAUUUCGUAUCCUUUCAAACUUUCUUUGAUUAUCUUAUACAAAAUAUUUGAACCCUUAUAGUAAUAUUUGUUUCAUAUUGUUUUUUUGUAUCACAGCAACGUAUAGAUUUUGCACGGAGGAUCAUGAAUGCUUUUAUGUUGUUUGUUUAA